UACCGGUUCUCGUCCGAUUAUCGAAGUUAAGCAACGUGGAGCCUGGUCAUUACGUAGAUGGGUGACUGCUUGGGAAUACCAAGUGCUGUAA